UACGGGAGGCAGCAGUGGGGAAUAUUGGACAGAUGGGCGCUAAUGCCUGAUCCAGCCAUACCGCGUGGGUGAAGAAGGCCUUCUGGGUUGUAAAGCCCUUUUGUUGGGAAAGAAAAGCAGCCGAUUAAUACCCGGUUGUUCUGACGGUACCCAAAGAAUAAGCACCGGCUAACUUCGUGCCAGCAGCCGCGGUAAUACGAAGGGUGCAAGCGUUACUCGGAAUUACUGGGCGUAAAGCGUGCGUAGGUGGUUGUUUAAGUCUGUCUGUGAAAGCCCUGGGCUCAACCUGGGAAUUGCGAUGGAAACUGGGCGACUAGAGUGUGGCAGAGGAUAGUGGAAUUCCUGGUGUAGCAGUGAAAUGCGUAGAGAUCAGGAGGAACAUCCGUGGCUGAAGGCGACUGUCUGGGCCAACACUGACACUGAGGCACGAAAGCGUGGGGAGCAAACAGGAUUAGAUACCCCGAGUAGUC
rnacentral:rRNA from 1 species